rnacentral:rRNA from 1 species
UCCCAGACUCCUACGGGAGGCAGCAGUGGGGAAUAUUGCACAAUGGGGGGAACCCUGAUGCAGCGACGCCGCGUGGGUGAAGGAGCACCUCGGUGCGUAAAGCCCUAUCGGCAGGGAAGAAAAGCGAACAGGUUCGCCUGGACGGUACCUGACUAAGAAGCCCCGGCUAAAUACGUGCCAGCAGCCGCGGUAAUACGGAUGGGGCAAGCGUUAUCCGGAUUUACUGGGUGUAAAGGGAGCGUAGGCGGCAGGGCAAGCCUGAUGUGAAAGCCCGGGCUCAACCCCGGGACUGCAUUGGGAACUGCCCCGCUCGAGUGCCGGAGGGGCAGGCGGAAUUCCUAGUGUAGCGGUGAAAUGCGUAGAUAUUAGGAGGAACACCAGUGGCGAAGGCGGCCUGCUGGACGGUGUACUGACGCUGAGGCUCGAAAGCGUGGGGAGCAAACAGGAUUAGAUACCCUUGUAU